GCGGGUGUGGCUGAGUGGCAAGGUACCGGCCUGCAAAGCCGUUCACGCCGGUUCGAAUCCGGUCAUCCGCUC
rnacentral:tRNA from 1 species